CUACGUGCCAGCAGCCGCGGUAAUACGUAGGUGGCAAGCGUUGUCCGGAAUUAUUGGGCGUAAAGCGCGCGCAGGCGGAUUGGUCAGUCUGUCUUAAAAGUUCGGGGCUUAACCCCGUGAUGGGAUGGAAACUGCCAAUYUAGAGUAUCGGAGAGGAAAGUGGAAUUCCUGGUGUAGCGGUGGAAUGCGCAGAUACCAGGAAGAACACCGGUGGCGAAGGCGGGUCUCUGGGCCGUUACUGACGCUGAGGAGCGAAAGCGUGGGGAGCGAACAGGAUUAGAUACCCUGGUAGUCCACGCUGUAAACGUUGGGCACUAGGUGUGGGGGCCACCCGUGGUUUCUGCGCCGUAGCUAACGCUUUAAGUGCCCCGCCUGGGGAGUACGGCCGCAAGGCUAAAACUCAAAGGAAUUGACGGGGGCCCGCACAAGCGGCGGAGCAUGCGGAUUAAUUCGAUGCAACGCGAAGAACCUUACCAAGGCUUGACAUGC
rnacentral:rRNA from 1 species